rnacentral:hammerhead_ribozyme from 1 species
AUCCAGAUAACGGAUCCGAAAUAGGACGAAACGCGCGUCGUGGAU